rnacentral:rRNA from 1 species
UCGAUAAUCCACGUAUACCAAACCUUCUCUCGACACUACAGCAUGUGUACUGCCGUUGUAAGCAUACCUUUAAAAGAACAAGUAUGCUUCUAUGACUAACACAAUCACAGCUAGCUCAUAUACAUCAGGUCAAAGUGCAGCUAAUAAGAAGGUGAUGAUGGGUUACAACCCCAAAAUAGACUAUAAACUAAGAAAUAAAAAAUCUUACGAAAGUGGACUUGGCCGUAAUUAAUUUCAAAUUAAAAAAAUGAAUAAAAAUCUAAGACAUGUACACAUCGCCCGUCACUCUAUCCUAAAGGUUAGAUAAGUCGUAACAAAGUAGGUGUAAUGGAAAUUGCACCUGUCGAAGUAUAGCAUAUAUAAUGCUUUUUACUUACACUAAAAAUAAAGUUGAACAACUUACUUCGCCCACGUAAUAUUAAUCUUAUAAAACAUUAAAUAAUAAGAAUAAUUAAACAAAAUUUAACUAACAAAUAAGUACAGAAAUGGAAACAAUAAAUAUAUAAAAGUAACUAUUAACAACUGUACCUUGUGCAUUAUGGUUUUACAAGAAAAUAAUUAAAAAUACCAAUCCCGAAUUCUAAAUGAGAUGUUAAACUGCUGUUAUGAACCCACUAAUAACUGUAGAAAAAGUUUUAAGAGACAGUUUAACAGAGGCUACAUACCAUUCGCAUAAGAAUAUAGCUGGUUUUCAACAAACAUUAUAUAUUAAAACAUAUAAUUAUAUUAUAGUGUAAAAUUAUUGAGGAUAAGCCCAAUAAUUAAAGCAAUACUAACACAAAAUCCAUUUACUCUCAUAGGCCUAAAAUCAGCCAACUAAAAUACUUUACCGUAUCAAAUGACGAUAUAAUGAAUAAAUAUAUAUCAUGCUAAAAGAAAGUUGAAACAACGAAUAAACCACAUAUCUCACUUUUACUAUGUAAAAAUAAGUAUUAUAAAACUAAAAUAAUCAUUAUCUAGUGAUAAACAAAACACAAAAAACCAUAAUUAAUUAAGGAACUCGGCAAAUAAGGGUUUCGACUGUUUAACAAAAACAUUGUCUCAUGAAAUUAAAUAUGAGAUAAU